GUCUGGAUCCAAAUGGAAGUCACCAUCCUGGAAAAGGUGUCAUGACUCCGACCUCCAUCUUUACAUAAUCAGACCAUGUGUCAGAGCAGCAGGAAGUCACUGUGCCCUCCUACAGGAGGAGGACCUCGGUAAAGUGAACAACAUGCAUGUGCAUUUAUGGUGAAGUGCUGUGAUGCAAGCUCAGUCCUGCAGCCCGUCUCCGCACACUGAAGCGGCUGUGACCUCCAGCCGGUGAAGAACGGCCGGUCGAUGAGCAGCUGGUGUCUGUAGCUGAAGCUGGGCUGAGGGAAAACUGUCCACUCCUUCACUCGUGAUCCAUCAUUGGAAGGCAGAUCUUAUACGUGUGCUCCCUGCCCAUGGAUGAGUUCUAUCAAAGAUGUAGUGGAUGUGAAUGUACCUCCCUCUUUUAUAAUAAACUUGUAACUGUAUUCA